rnacentral:rRNA from 1 species
ACAGAGGGUGCAAGCGUUAAUCGGAAUUACUGGGCGUAAAGCGCACGUAGGCGGUUUUUUAAGUCAGAUGUGAAAGCCCCGGGCUCAACCUGGGAAUUGCAUUUGAAACUGGAAAACUAGAGUGUGUGAGAGGGGGGUAGAAUUCCAAGUGUAGCGGUGAAAUGCGUAGAGAUUUGGAGGAAUACCAGUGGCGAAGGCGGCCCCCUGGCACAACACUGACGCUCAGGUGCGAAAGCGUGGGGAGCAAACAGGAUUAGAUACCCUGGUAGUCCACGCCGUAAACGAUGUCUACUAGCUGUUCGUGGUCUUGUACUGUGAGUAGCGCAGCUAACGCACUAAGUAGACCGCCUGGGGAGUACGGUCGCAAGAUUA